ensembl:lncRNA
GUUGGGGUGGGGGAGAGGAAAGACAAAGGAGGGCCGUCCACAGAGCCACCAGAACCCAAGAAGAGGAAGUACAGCCCCCUUGAUGGUACGGCUGGCAGUAGUCUAGGUGCCAGGAUGCUGCAGGGAGGGGUGAAGAAAGGACUGCUGCUACGUAACAUGCAAGUGGACUGACCCCUGACCUUUAAACCCCGAUCUCUAACCUCUAACCCCAGACAUUCAACAUCGCACAGGACUAAGCUCCCUAGGUACAGAUCUAGGAUCAGCUUCCCCUCCCCCAAUCCUAACCUUAACCCUUUACACUCGUACUCGUAUCCAUCCGGGUUGAAAAUGGCAGAUUUGGGCACCAAUAAAUACCUAAAUUGGAACGUAAUGCUCAUCACAGCGAUGUAUGAGUUUUGACUGACAGACAUUCUGAACUUGAGAACCUCACGCAACGUAAAGCUGCAACCCAUCCCUCCUCGUAACUUUUGCAAAUGUUUUGUUGUCUGAGUGAAAAUGCUGUCAAUUAAGAGGACAAUAUGCAUUAUGUUGAGGAUUAUAAUAAAUAUCGCUUUGAUGUCAUGCAUCGCCUGUGAGUACAGUUACCAGAUGACUUAUCGUCAUACCCUGGGUUGUUCUGAACAGAAUGAGACUAUGGUUGAUGUAGUUACCAGAUGACUUGUCGUCAUACCCUGGGUUGUUCUGAACAGAAUGAGACUAUGUUUGAUGUACAGUUACCAGAUGACUUGUCGUCAUACCCUGGGUUGUUCUGAACAGAAUGAGACUAUGUUUGAUGUACAGUUACCAGAUGACUUGUCGUCAUACCCUGGGUUGUUCUGAACAGAAUGAGACUAUGUUAGAUGUAGUUACCAGAUGACUGUCGUCAUACCCUGGGUUGUUCUGAACAGAAUGAGACUAUGUUUGAUGUACAGUUACCAGAUGACUUGUCGUCAUACCCUGGGUUGUUCUGAACAGAAUGAGACUAUGUUUGAUGUAGUUACCAGAUGACUUGUCGUCAUACCCUGGGUUGUUCUGAACAGAAUGAGACUAUGUUAGCCUCUGCACACACACGUGAAUACGGUCAUCACUCCUUUCUCUGCACGCCAACAUCAUGGUCUGUUUCUCUGAAUUGCCUUGUGAAAGCCUAACACUGUAAUGUCAUAUUUUAUAUCUUAGCUAGUCAUGUUGGCAACAGAACAGGCUUUUAAAUGAUGCCCACCUGACCCAGAUUGCUAUUUAUAAUGACAGUGUUUAGUUUGCCUAAACAACAGCAGUAAAUGUGUGAUGACGAGGAGGAAGGGCUGUGUUCCAAAGAAAACAACUACAAGUGUGCUUCCUCUAGUUCCUCAACGGUCCAGCUAGGAGAGCUCAAAAAAGCACCUUAUAGCUGAAGACUUCUUUAAGUCAGAAAGGUGCAUUGAAAUUACUUAGGAACUAUGCACAGUUUGGAGAGGUGUGGCCACUUGGAGACGCCAGUCAGACCUCUCACUCAAACCCCACAGUUUGGAGAGGUAUGUGGCCACUUGGAGACACCAGUCAGACCUCUCACUCAAACCCCACAGUUUGGAGAGGUCUGGCCACUUGGAGACGCCAGUCAGACCUCUCACUCAAACCCCACAGUUUGGAGAGGUAUGUGGCCACUUGGAGACACCAGUCAGACCUCUCACUCAAACCCCACAGUUUGGAGAGGUCUGGCCACUUGGAGACGCCAGUCAGACCUCUCACUCAAACCCCACAGUUUGGAGAGGUGUGUGGCCACUUGGAGACACCAGUCAGACCUCUCAUUCAACCCCUUUAAACCCCAUUUUCCAGCAAUAUUCUUAACAUGUUACUGAAUAUAUCCAGAGUAUUUCAGAUUUCGUUAUCAACCAAUAAUGUGAAAAGUACAGUAUAUGUAAAAUGAACAUAAAAUCAACAGUGUAAUGUUUGAAUUCAGUCUUGUGUCAGGUGAACUGUUGUGUCCUCACCUUUGGUCUAAUAAUUUUCCCAUGAUCUCCAAACUGUUCCCUUUCAAUUGCUACCAUGGUUAUGCAUAUGCUUGUCAUAUUUCGUCUGUAAGAAACAUUUUAAUUCAGCCCUAUCCAUGUAGGCCAAUUCCCAGGAGUGUAAAGGGUUAACCGGAAGUGGGGGGCUGACCCAAGAUGAGCAUUUAGGGGAAACUGUAUCCUACUCCUCUAACUCCUCACACAGACAGGACUGGGACCAUCUGCUCUCCCAUAUCACUACUACAUAGAUAUAUAUAUAUAUAUAUAUAUAUAUAUAGAUAGAUAGAUAGAUAGAUAGAUAGAUAGAUAGAUAGAUAGGCUCCUGUUUUUAAAUUCUACACAUCGGAAGGAAGGAACCGAUGCAGUGUGGCCUGGUUCUCACGGAAAACUUCUCAAAUCUGUGGGAGAUUAACGCUAUGAGAGAUCAACGCUAUGAGAGAUCAACGCUAUGAGAGAUCAACGCUGUGGGAGAUCAACGCUGUGGGAGAUCAACGCUAUGAGAGAUUAACGCUAUGAGAGAUUAACGCUAUGAGAGAUUAACGCUAUGAGAGAUUAACGCUAUGAGAGAUCAACGCUAUGAGAGAUUAACGCUAUGAGAGAUUAACGCUAUGAGAGAUUAACGCUAUGAGAGAUUAACGCUAUGGGAGGUCAACGCUAUGAGAGAUUAACGCUAUGAGAGAUUAACGCUAUGAGAGAUUAACGCUAUGAGAGAUCAACGCUAUGGGAGAUCAACGCUAUGGGAGAUUAACGCUAUGAGAGAUUAACGCUAUGGGAGGUCAACGAUACGGGAGGUCAACACUACGGGAGGUCAACGCUGCGGGAGGUCAACGCUGCGGGAGAUCAACGCUGCGGGAGAUCAAUGCUACGGGAGAUCAAUAUGGAGGUGAUCACCAACAGUCAGUCAGCCAUGGACGAUAGAGAAAGGAGUUUUAGAUUCACGAAAGAUAACCGUCAUUUGUUUGAUUGGGUUCUGUAUGUAUGGCUUUGGUAUCAUACAGAGAGUGAGAUGACUGUCUCUAAUAGCAGCCCCUGUGACACCCUAUUCCCUACAGGCCCUGGUCAAAAGUAGUGCACUAUAUAGGGAAUAGGGUGCCAAGUGUCUGAAAUGGUACCCUAUUCCCUACAGGCCCUGGUCAAAAGUAGUGCACUAUGUAGGGAAUAGGGUGCCAAGUGUCUAAAAUGGUACCCUAUUCCCAAUGGGCCCGCUGGUCAAAAGUAGUGCACUAUGUAGGGAAUAGGGUGCAAUUUGGGACUUAUUAACUUAGACAAUGUGAGGAUUUUACAAUGAGCACUUUUUUUUUCCUUUUUUUUUUUACCCAGAUAGAGAUGGGGACAGAACAUUCUGAUAGUGAUCUGGCCUCCUAUGGACAAUGGACAUUAUAUCACACUAACAAUGCAUUGGGUGUGAACCAAUAGUAAUAUCAUUCUGAUAUGUGUGUGUAAAAAUUAAAUGUAUAUUGUAAUACAGUAUUUGGUUCUGGAAAAAAAAAGAAGAGAUUUAGUUUGUCUUUUUAUUUGAAAUACUGACUAUCAUGAUCUUUGUCUCAUUUUUAUAAUGUUUUUUUGUUUGAUCGGGUUGUCGGAUCUCAAUCGUUCAAAUUACAAAGCUCCAAAUCUUUUAACCCCCCUAUAACUUGACAGUACCUUGAUAAUUGUAACCCUAGAAUUGACUGGCUUGAUUAACUGGAGUGAUUAACUGGAGUGAUUGACUAGAGUGAUUAACUGGAGUGAUUGACUGGAGUGAUUGACUGGAGUGAUUGACUAGAGUGAUUGACUGGAGUGAUUGACUGGAGUGAUUGACUGGAGUGAUUGACUGGAGUGAUUGACGUUGACUGGCUUGGUUGACUGGCUUGAUUUACUGGUUUGCUGCAGACAUGUUUUGGUACCCUUCCCCAGAUCUGUGCCUCGACACCAUCCUGUCUCGGAGCUCUACGGACAAUUCCUUCAACCUCAUGUUUUGGUUUUUGCUCUGACAUGCACUGUCAACUAUAGGACCUUAUAUAGACAGGUGUGUGCCUUUCCAAAUCAUGUCCAAUCAAUUGAAUUUAUCACAGCUGGACUCCAAUCAAGUUGUAGAGACAUCUCAAGGAUGAUCAAUGGAAACAGGAUGCAGCUGAUCUCAUAGCAAAGGGUCUGAAUACUUAUGUAAAUAAGGUAUUUCUGUUUUUUAUUUCUAAAAAUUUGUUUUCUCUUUGUCGUUAUGGGGUGUUGUGUGUAGAUUGAUGAGGAUAAAAAUUAAUUGUAUACAUUUUAGAAUAACAGGCUAACUACACCGCUCGCGUUGCAAAAUACAUUUAGAAAUCUAUAUUAUUCAAUUAUUGCACCCACACUGCUCGCGCGCGCCAAUGAGCGUCUGUGUUACCAAGGGCUAAAAUAGAAGUCAGUUCUAUUUCUGACGUGGUUCGCGCUGCAAGUCCUGCCUCUCCCAUCUCUUCAUUGGUUUAUAGAAGCAGGUACUCACGUGUCAUCCCCUCAUUGGUUAUACCCACGUGGGUGACAGAAAGACGAACGUUGCCAAUCGCAAUAUAAAGUCAAGAGAAGAAAAAGCCUGUAAGAAAGAGAGAUGACUAGAAAUGACUCGGCUGACCGUUUUAUGUGUGGAUUAGGUGUCAGAGUAGAGGACCUUGUGCAUUUCAGGUAAAAUAACAACUCAAUGUUUAUAUCCCAGGACAAAUUAGCUAGCAACAGCAAGCUAGCUAAAUAGGACAAAUUAGCUAGCAACAGCAAGCUAGCUAAAUAGGACAAAUUAGCUAGCAAGCUAGCUAGCUAAAUUUCCAUACAUGUUUAAUGCUUUUCGACCUGUCCCCAAAUUAAUAUAAUUGGUUCGGAGUUUGUUUUGAUAUUUUAAGCUUGUUACACAGAACCCAACCCGGCUGCGUGCAUGCGCCAUCGUGCAUAAAUGUAUUAUGUCCCCCACACCAAACGCGAUCACGACACGCAGGUUAAAAUAUCAAAACAAACUCACACGUGGGUACCUGCUUCUAUAAACCAAUGAGGAGAUGGCACGUGGGUACCUGCUUUUAUAAACCAAUGAGGAGAUGGGAGAGGCAGGACUGGCAGCGUGAUCUGCGUCAGAAAUAGAACUGACUUCUAUUUUAGCCCUUGGCAACGCAGACGCUCAUUGGCUUGCGCAAGCAGUAUGGGUGCAAUAAUUGAAUAAUAUAGAUUUCUACAUUUAUUUUGCAACGCGCACGCGACACGAGUGGUGUUGUCAGCCUGCAAGGCUGUAACGUAACAAAAUGUGGGAAGAGUCGAGGGGUAUGAAUACAUUCUGAAUGCCCUUGUAUCCUCUGGCUUGUUGAUGUUCUCCGUAUCCACAGCCAGAAUGAUUUUGCAGUGCACGGUGAUCGAACAGAUAUCCUGUUUGUAUUCAUCAGAGGUGUGAAGGGAGGGUGAAGUCUGUGAAUCCCCAAAAUAGUAAAUAAUACAGAUGAUUAACAAAGCAUACACACAACAGUACUCACACCUUGGUUUUUGUGGUGAAUGUAAAUGGGGGGGAAAAAAACUGUUUUUCGAUAAUAGUUUUCAUACACAUACCUUGUCCAUAAUGUAGAGGCCUCUGGGAUUUUCAUUGAAGAGGUAAGGCAGGAGGAUGGUACAUGUGAUCUGUAUAACAUACCAAUACCUUUGUAUGCCUCCCCGUCUGUAUACCUGCAGAUACAGACACAAAGGUGAGCAGUUCAGUCAUCUGCACCCAAUACAGCCAGUCUUCAACAUAUCCUUCUUAGCACAAAUAUUACCUCUUUGUUGAUUGAUAUCCAUUGAAUUGUUUCGCCUAAUUUCCUCAGUAGAGUAGAGUAUUAAUUUAUUACGACAGGGUAGCCUAGUGGUUAGAGUGUUGGACUAGUAACCGGAAGGUUGCAAGUUCAAACCCCCGAGCUGGCAAGGUACAAAUCUCUUGUUCUGCCCCUGAACAGGCAGUUAACCCACUGUUCCUAGGCCGUCGUUGACAAUAAGAAUUUGUUCUUAACUGACUUACCUGGUAAAAUAAAGAAUGUAUCUCGA